CACUGAGUGUCUGAAAUGCAAGUAAAGGUCUCUUAAACCUUCAAUAGUAAUAUAGCAAUUACUCGCAGUGA
rnacentral:tRNA from 1 species